rnacentral:rRNA from 1 species
UACGAAGGGGGCUAGCGUUGCUCGGAAUCACUGGGCGUAAAGCGCACGUAGGCGGAUUCCUAAGUCGGGGGUGAAAUCCUGGAGCUUAACUCCAGAACUGCCUUCGAUACUGAGAGUCUUGAGACCGGGAGAGGUGAGUGGAAUUCCCAGUGUAGCGGUGAAAUGCGUAGAUAUUGGGAGGAACACCAGUGGCGAAGGCGGCUCUCUGGGCAUGAUCUGACGCUGAGGAGCGAAAGUGUGGGGAGCGAACAGG